rnacentral:rRNA from 1 species
UGGUGGGUUGCCUUGUCAGGUUGAUUCCGGUAACGAACGAGACCUCAGCCUGCUAAAUAGUGAAAUUCGCUCCGGCGGAUUGCGCACUUCUUAGAGGGACUAUUGGCGACUAGCCAAUGGAAGCAUGAGGCAAUAACA